rnacentral:rRNA from 1 species
GACGUAGGGCGCGAGCGUUGUCCGGAUUUAUUGGGCGUAAAGAGCUCGUAGGCGGCUUGUCGCGUCGAAUGUGAAAUCUCAGGGCUCAACUCUGACAUUGCAUUCGAUACGGGCAGGCUCGAGUUCGGUAGGGGAGACUGGAAUUCCUGGUGUAGCGGUGAAAUGCGCAGAUAUCAGGAGGAACACCGGUGGCGAAGGCGGCUUUCUGGCCUGUUCUUGACGCUGAGGCGCGAAAGCUAGGGUAGCAAACGGG